AUUGAACGCUGGCGGCAGGCCUAACACAUGCGAGUCGAGCGGGGUUUUCGGACCUAGCGGCGGACGGGUGAGUAAUGCGUAGGAAGCUACCCGAUAGAGGGGGAUACCAGUUGGAAACGACUGUUAAUACCGCAUAAUGUCUACGGACCAAAGUGUGGGACCUUCGGGCCACAUGCUAUCGGAUGCGCCUACGUGGGAUUAGCUAGUUGGUGGGGUAAUGGCUCACCAAGGCGACGAUCCCUAGCUGGUUUGAGAGGAUGAUCAGCCACACUGGAACUGAGACACGGUCCAGACUCCUACGGGAGGCAGCAGUGGGGAAUAUUGGACAAUGGGCGCAAGCCUGAUCCAGCCAUGCCGCGUGUGUGAAGAAGGCCUUCGGGUUGUAAAGCACUUUCAGUAGGGAGGAAGGGUGUUGUGUUAAUAGCACAGCAUUUUGACGUUACCUACAGAAGAAGCACCGGCUAACUCUGUGCCAGCAGCCGCCGCCGUAA
rnacentral:rRNA from 1 species